rnacentral:rRNA from 1 species
AAGAAGCGAAGCGGUGACGCGGAGCAAACCUCAGAAAGCCAAUCUCAGUUCGGAUUGUAGGCUGCAACUCGCCUACAUGAAGUUGGAAUCGCUAGUAAUCGCGAAUCAGAAUGUCGCGGUGAAUACGUUCCCGGGUCUUGUACACACCGCCCGUCACACCACGAGAGUUUACAACACCCGAAGUCAGUGGCCUAACCGCAAGGAGGGAGCUGCCUAAGAUGGGGGUAGAUGAUUGGGGUGAAGUCGUAACAAGGUAGC